GGGAUAAAUUCCCUGGAUGUGGCCGAGAAGGCUGAACAAAAAG
rnacentral:ncRNA from 1 species